rnacentral:lncRNA from 1 species
CAACCUACUCAACCUUACCGAUGUCAUGAUAAUAUUUCAGAUGAUAGUUCAUCGAAAAGACAUAACCCUCGUUAUCACCCUUAGACCCGAUAGAACUGCUCUCUCUGUCCUUUUUUAUCACUUAGUGUCUCAAUCCAAGACAUCCUACUAAGCUUUUCCUCUAGGACCUAUCUUUCUAGAACCAUUCCAAGCUUUAUUAUAACAUUUGAG